AUCAGAUUGAUUAUGGACUUUUCAAAAACCAAGCUUUCCAUUCACCACAAAUAGCAUGUUGCUCCUAGUAGUUCUUGCCAGAGAACACAGUCAAAGAAGAUAACUAUCUUAUACAUUCUGCAUGUUACAUACCAAGGAAGGAUAAUAAUUCUCUCUUUGUUCCCAGGUCCUGUCAUUUGGGCAGAGGUGGGAGACACCAUCAGAGUAACCUUCCAUAACAAAGGAGCAUAUCCCCUCAGUAUUGAGCCGAUUGGGGUGAGAUUCAAUAAGAACAACGAGGGCACAUACUAUUCCCCAAAUUACAACCCCCAGAGCAGAAGUGUGCCUCCUUCAGCCUCCCAUGUGGCACCCACAGAAACAUUCACCUAUGAAUGGACUGUCCCCAAAGAAGUAGGACCCACUAAUGCAGAUCCUGUGUGUCUAGCUAAGAUGUAUUAUUCUGCUGUGGAUCCCACUAAAGAUAUAUUCACUGGGCUUAUUGGGCCAAUGAAAAUAUGCAAGAAAGGAAGUUUACAUGCAAAUGGGAGACAGAAAGAUGUAGACAAGGAAUUCUAUUUGUUUCCUACAGUAUUUGAUGAGAAUGAGAGUUUACUCCUGGAAGAUAAUAUUAGAAUGUUUACAACUGCACCUGAUCAGGUGGAUAAGGAAGAUGAAGACUUCCAGGAAUCUA
rnacentral:sRNA from 1 species